AUUCGUGUUUGUACUUUUUAUUAUUACGCCUCCGUUGUUGUUUGGUGGUUUUGGUAUUAUGCCUUGCAUUCGCAUAAAUUAAAUAAAAAUCGUGUCUACUUGGUGUUUGGACUGUUUGGAAAAUCGUACCUAGAAAAUAUAAUGUUGAGCUCCUUGGUUAGCUUAAUCGCAAGCUGUAUAAUUCUUUCUAUUAAAGAUUUUAUUCCAUAAUAACACGACCAAUCCGUCUUCGUAACUAGAUCGCACUCACUGUAGUACCAUUAAAAAGAC